rnacentral:rRNA from 1 species
UCAUCAAGUUUGACCUCAAAUCAGGUAGGAUUACCCGCUGAACUUAAGCAUAUCAAUAAGCGGAGGAAAAGAAACCAACUGGGAUUACCUUAGUAACGGCGAGUGAAGCGGUAAAAGCUCAAAUUUGAAAUCUGGUACUUUCAGUGCCCGAGUUGUAAUUUGUAGAAUUUGUCUUUGAUUAGGUCCUUGUCUAUGUUCCUUGGAACAGGACGUCAUAGAGGGUGAGAAUCCCGUUUGGCGAGGAUACCUUUUCUCUGUAAGACUUUUUCGAAGAGUCGAGUUGUUUGGGAAUGCAGCUCAAAGUGGGUGGUAAAUUCCAUCUAAAGCUAAAUAUUGGCGAGAGACCGAUAGCGAACAAGUACAGUGAUGGAAAGAUGAAAAGAACUUUGAAAAGAGAGUGAAAAAGUACGUGAAAUUGUUGAAAGGGAAGGGCAUUUGAUCAGACAUGGUGUUUUUUGCAUGCACUCGCCUCUCGUGGGCUUGGGCCUCUCAAAAAUUUCACUGGGCCAACAUCAAUUCUGGCAGCAGGAUAAAUCAUUAAGAAUGUAGCUACUUCGGUAGUGUUAUAGCUUUUUGGAAUACUGUUAGCCGGGAUUGAGG